ACCUGAGGGAUAGCUCAGUUAGUAGAGCAUGAGACUCUUAAUUUCAGGAUUGUGGGUUCGAGAGCCAUAUUGGGUG